CCGGGUUCUCGCCAUUCUCCUGCCUCAGCCUUCCGAGUAGCUGGGACUAUAGGUGCCCGCCACCACGCCAGGCUAAUUUUUUGUAUUUUUAGUAGAGAUGGGGUUUCACCGUGUUAGCCAGGAUGGUCUCGAUCUUCUGACCUCGUGAUCCGCCCGCCUCGGCCUCCCAAAGUGCUAGGAUUACAGGCGUGAGCCACCGCGCCCGGCAGCAAAUUUUAAGUAUUGAUGGAUGGUUGGGUGACAUGGACUCCAGUAUGUGCCAUGAAGGAUACGAAGAUGAAGCUGUCAUGAACUCUGCUCUCGAGAAGCUACUGUCAAACCUUCUCAAUGUGAACACCACAAGGAUGAAGACCUUUAUAAUGAUCCAUCUCCACUUAAUUAAGAAUAAAUAUUUUUUCUCUUACUCAUGAUUUUAUUAAUGGUAUUUUCUUUUCUCUAGCUUACUUUAUUAUAAAAAUACAGUAUAUAAUACAUAUAGCACACAAAAUAUGUGUUGAUCGACUAUUUAUGUUAUUGAUAAGGCUUCCGGUCAAAAGUAGGCUAAUAGUAGCUACAUUUUUUGGCAAAUCAAAGGCUAAUUACUUGGAUCUGAUCACUAUACAUUAUGUAUAUCACAACAUCACUAUGUGCCCCAUAAAUAUGUACAAUUAUUGUGUUUAUUUAAAAUUUGGAAAAUAAAAAGUUACAAAACAUUUUUUUAAAAUUUAAAAUUUAAAAGUUCUAUGUGGAUUUUUGAGUGCAUGGGUAAGUUGUCACCCCUAACCCCCGUGGUUCCAGGAUCAACUGUAGUGUGUAUUCUUACUGACUCAAAAUUCUUUAUAUUUAUCUGCUUCUCCACCACUCGCCACUUCAAAUGAACAAUUAACUUGUCAAAGAUUAUUUUCCUCAAUACACAACUUCCUAUUUCUCACUCUCCCUCAUCUCCUCUUUCUUUCUUCUUGCCUCUUAUUAAAACCCAAAAGUUGAUAAGAAAGUGGAAUUAAAGAUAGAAUUUGUGUAUAAACAGACUUAACUGUAGUGUUCAUUCUUUUCCAUUUCCUAAAUUGUCCAAUUUCACCAGACAAUGACCUCAAUCUAGCCUAGAAUAAUAAAAACAAUUACCAGCUACUCUAUUGCAUGAAUAAGCCCUAGUUUUACUUUGCAAGCAUCCCAUUAAGUGUUUGCUGGAUUUUUCUAUUUUCCUUCUCUAUGUCAGAGUCAAGGCAAGCAUCACAAGCCAAGUAGCCACCCUGCUAACUGGAAGGUAAAAGAAGAGCCAGGGGAGGGAAACAGACUCAGAGACUAUCAAUUUUCCCUGAACUAGAACAACCUAUUCUUAUCAGAGAAGAUGAGCAUCACUUAACAUUUGACAAACCACUGUCCCCAGAGUGCAUUACCAUGGUAAUCCAG
rnacentral:lncRNA from 1 species